CUGUGCUAGACGGGGAGCUAGCGGUGCCCUGUAACCUGCAAUCCGCUAUAGCAGGGUUGAAUUCCUCUCCGAGGCUUACUCGUUUGGCAUCAAAGUUUAAUAAGCGGUGUUGAUCGUCAAGUCCUGCGCAAUAAAGUACUGCCUAACCCCGUCAGGACCGGAAGGAAGCAGCGGUAAGCACGAUCUUUAUGUGCCGUAGGGUCGCUUGGCUGGAGCUGGCUGUUGAAAAUUGUUGUCAGAAAAGAGGGGUCGAUGGGAGGUGCACAG
rnacentral:SRP_RNA from 1 species